CUCUCUCUCUCUCUCUCUCUCUCACACGCACGCACACACGCACACACACACACACACACACACACAACUUCCACCAGCCAAGGACUCUGUGGGAAGGGAACACACUGUUGUAGUCUAACCAGACUCUAACAUGGGAGCAUGAGGUGUGUUGGUGAGUACAAUCUGUGUACCUUCUGUUAUGGCCUUAUGAAACUGCAUGGAGGCCAGUAUUAACACUUAUGAAGCUAUAUGGAGGCCAGUAUUAACACUUAUGAAGCUAUUUGGAGGCCAGUAUUAACACUUAAGUUCCAAUUCCAUGAAACCAGAAGGGUGGUCAAUUGUUUGAAUAAAGCAUCUUUAUAUUGUAUUAAAUUACCUGACAGUCCCAAAUUGCCCCUUUUAAAUUAACUGACAAUCCCCAAAAUAAACUAGGUUAAAAAGGGAAAGAAAAGCCAUGAAACAACUUGGAUGGAACCUCUAAGCGAAGCCUCAAGUUUUUGGUCCAUUUUCAGCCCCAUUCCACAGUCAUGCUUCUGAUUCCUCUAAAGUCUCCCACUCUCUGUUCUUCAAAGCCGGCAAUACCCUCCUCAGUGUGUGUGUGUGUGUGUGUGUGUGUGUGUGUGUGUGUGUGUGUGUGUGUGUGUGUGUGUGUGUGUGUGUGUGUGUGUGUGUGUGUGUGUGUGUGUGUGUGUGUGUGUGUGUGUGUGUGUGUGUGCGCGCUCGCUGCUCAGUGUGAUCACUCAGAAAGAGGCUGUUCACCUGUUCAGAAUUCUUAUGUAAUUCUACUUCAAAGCUUCUGAUCCGAAUGGUUCUCCCUCCUCUGAGCCCACUCUCUGGUCCCUAGACAAGACUAAUAGGGAGGGAGGGAGACAGAGGGGUAGGGUAGUGAGUGAUAUAGAAAGAUAGAGAUAGAGAGAGGGGGGAGAGGAUGAAUGAUGGAUGAACAAGGGAAAUCAGGGUUUAAGAGCUUUGCUGUUCUUUAAAGGGAGCAAAUUAUACGUAGCCUCAAAACAAUGGGAGAGAGAGAGAGAGAGAGAGAGAGAGAGAGAGAGAGAGAGAGAGAGAGAGAGAGAGAGAGAGAGAGAGAGAGAGAGAGAGAGAGAGAGAGAGAGAGAGAAGUCAGCCGAGAUGUGACCAUGUAGGAAUUAAUGAAGUUCUUAGACAGACGAUACACCAGUGAGGGAUUUUACAGGCUAAGAGCCGAGCCUGAGCCCCACUCCUAUAAUUGUAUUUGGAUAAAAAUGUCAUAUUCCUUUGCCUCAGAUCUAUUUUGCUAUUAUAAUUACUGAUUAUAAAUAAUGAUUUUUGUCAUGCAAUUAUAACUGUGCAAGUCCAUAAAAGUUGACUUAUUUAGUUACCUAGGCACUAAGACUCAAUUUGUAUUAUUUAUUCAUACUUCAUUCACACAGCCUCGAAUCAGACCCUAUGACACUAGACCAAAGAUAGCAAAUACGCUAUGUUAUACUGUAUACCGCUAUUCACAUUCAUUGCCAUCACCCAAAAAGAAGAAAAAUCAACAGGAAACAAGAGGGUCAGCUGAUACAUACGGUAUGCCUGUGCUUCAUAUAUAUCAAUUCACUUCAGAUCUCAAGGAGUCCCUGGAGGUGAUAUUGUAAACACAUAAAAACACAAAAAAGCAUUAGGAGAUUAUUGUUGUGGUACUGUAGCUAGGAUAUGUUAGAUUUCUCUCCAUUCUAAGGCUUGACUGACAGAUAAUCAACAUAAUGAAAAUGUUCUAGUCUGAAGAGACAAACAAAACAACACAUCUGUGAAUUCCAAGGAAAGUGAUACAGAAGCAAUAGAACUGUAAGUAGAGGAAAAUUGGUCUGUAUUAGACUGAGCAGGACCUACAACAGGACAGAUAGAUUACUGUGUAUUAAUUGUAUCCUCUGUCUCUCUCUCUCUCUCUCUGUGUCCCCCUCCCUCUCUUUAUCUUGUGCAUCAACACCAACAACUGAUAAAGCAGAUUGCAUAAUGCAUGGAACAGGAACAGGGGCAGUGGAGAUUUAGAGCAAAUCUCUCUCUCUUUCCCUCCAUCCCCGCUUCUCUCUCUCUCUCUGUUUGUGAUGGAAAGAUUACAUAAGAGAGGAGUAGAGAUGGAUUCAGGUCGAGGGGUGGAGUGCUGGUGUGACUGAUUAGACCAGACACCCAAAUGGACAGGCUCCGGCUAUGGGAGAAGGGAGCGAGAUUAACCUUGUCCUGCCCAGGGGCAGAGGCACUGCUGGUUGUACGAGCUGUUCGGUCCAUUCCACUCUACUGGACUGUUCUAUCCUAACCCCUGUGUGUACUGCUCCAAAAAUAAACACCGUAAAGGAGAGCGAGAGUAAUCACAUAUGCACCCACACACACACACAUAUGCAUGCACACAGGAACACACACACACACACACACACACACACACAUAUGCAUGCACACAGGACACACACACACACACACACACACACACACACACACACACACACACACACACACACACACACAUAUGCAUGCACACAGGAACACACACACACACAUAUGCAUGCACACAGAUACAUACACACACACACACACACACACACACACACACACACACACACACACACAUGGACGCAUAUGCAUGCACACAGGAACAUACACACACACAUACACACACACACACACGCACGCAUAUGCAUGCACACAGGAACAUACAUACAUACACACACACACACACACACACACACACACACACACACACACACACACACACACACACACACACACACACACACACACACACACACAUAUGCAUGCACACAGAUAAAUACAAACACACACACACAUGCACGCAUAUGCGCGCACACAGGAACAUACAUACACACACACACACACACACACACACACACACACACACACACACACAGGAACAUACACACACACACAUAUGCACGCACACAGAUAAAUACAAACACACACACACAUGCACGCAUAUGCGCGCACGCAGGUACAUACACAUACA
rnacentral:lncRNA from 1 species